rnacentral:rRNA from 1 species
AGCGAACGCUGGCGGCAGGCCUAACACAUGCAAGUCGAGCGCCGUAGCAAUACGGAGCGGCAGACGGGAGAGUAACACGUGGGAACGUACCCUUUGGUUCGGAACAACCCAGGGAAACUUGGGCUACUACCGGAUAAGCCCUUACGGGGAAAGAUUCGUCGCCGAAGGAUCGGCCCGCGUCUGAUUAGCUAGUUGGUGGGGUAAUGGCCCACCAAGGCGACGAUCAGUAGCUGGUCUGAGAGGAUGAUCAGCCUCACUGGGACUGAGACACGGCCCAGACUCCUACGGGAGGCAGCAGUGGGGAAUAUUGGACAAUGGGCGCAAGCCUGAUCCAGCCAUGCCGCGUGGGUGAUGAAGGCCCUAGGGUUGUAAAGCCCUUUCGGCGGGGAAGAUAAUGACGGUACCCGCAGAAGAAGCCCCGGCUAACUUCGUGCCAGCCGCCGCCGUAAAAC